ensembl:lncRNA
UCAGGUAUUAGUGACUGAUCUGCUGAAAGCAUUUGGAACUACUAUUUUAAAAAUCUCCUUCAAAAUUUCAGAAGGUCUUUGUCAAGGUGCAAUGGAUGCCUACAAUAAAUGGAAAGCAGUUCUACAGAAGGGGCAGUAAUGGCUGCUUGAUCCAGCAGUGGCUUCUGUCUGGCCCAGGAACACAGCAGGUCGAAGAAUUUAUCAUCUCUGUGAUUUAUAAUCCAGCUUCUGGAUGAAGUGGGGCUCCUAUGGUCAGUGCACAUGGGACUAGCACGCAGAAGGAUUUCCUGGAGUCUUCAACCAAGAUCAGUUUGGAAUUUAGAAAAUGUUUCAGUGGUCUGCAGAGGACUUCAGGAAGGUGGACAUCUGAGGCAAUACCUCUUGGUCAGAGCUACCAGUGUUCCUUAUUCAAGCCAAGUACCUGCUUAAUCCCUGCCACGGAAUAGCUUCCAGACUCUGGGCAGAGGGACAGAAGAGAUGAAGUACAUGAGAUCUGAACUUGGAAGAAGACUGAGGUAUGUGUGGCUGAAUAAAUGUUUCUAUAAAGCUGAAAUAUAUACGGUA